CCUGCCAGUAGUCAUAUGCUUGUCUCAAAGACUAAGCCAUGCAUGUCUAAGUAUAAACAACUUUGUACUGUGAAACUGCAGAUGGCUCAUUAAAUCAGAAAUAAUUUCUUUGAUGGUGAAAAUCUACACGGAUACCCGUAGUAAUUCUAGAGCUAAUACGUGCGUAAACUCCAUUGUGAGGUAUUUAUUAGAUCCGAACCAGCCCCUUCGGGGUAUUUUGGUGAAUCAUGAUAACUGUUCGAAUCGCCAGGCUCUGCCAGGCGAUAGUUCAUUCAAAUUUCUGCCCUAUCAGCUAUUGACGGUAGUGUAGUGGACUACCGUGGCCGUAACGGGUGACGGAGAAUUAGGGUUCGAUUCCGGAGAGAGAGCCUGAGAAACGGCUACCACAUCUAAGGAAGGCAGCAGGCGCGCAAAUUACCCAAUCCCGACACGGGGAGGUAGUGACAAGAAAUAUCGUGACUGUGCCCUUUGUGGCAGAGUCUUCGAAAUGAGCAAUACGUAAAUGCCUUUGCGAGUAUCCAUUGGAGGGCAAGUCUGGUGCCAGAAGCCGCGGUAAUUCCAGCUCCAAUAGCGUAUAUUAAAGUUGUUGCAGUUAAAAAGCUCGUAGUUGAAACUUGGGCCUGGCUGGCAGGUCCGCCUCACCGCGUGCACUUGUCCGGCCGGGCCUUUUCUUCUGGAGAACCGCAUGCCCUUCACUGGGUGUGUUGGGGACCAGGACUUUUACUUUGAAAAAAUUAGAGUGUUCAAAGCAGGCCUUUGCUCGAAUACGUUAGCAUGGAAUAAUAGAAUA
rnacentral:rRNA from 18 species